GAUGAACGCUAGCUACAGGCUUAACACAUGCAAGUCGAGGGGAAACGAUAUUGGAAGCUUGCUUCCGAUAGGCGUCGACCGGCGCACGGGUGAGUAACGCGUAUCCAACCUGCCCAUCACUUGGGGAUAACCUUGCGAAAGUAAGACUAAUACCCGAUGAUAUCCCUAGAAGACAUCUGAAAGGGAUUAAAGAUUUAUCGGUGAUGGAUGGGGAUGCGUCUGAUUAGCUUGUUGGCGGGGUAAUGGCCCACCAAGGCGACGAUCAGUAGCCGACCUGAGAGGAAGGUCCCCCCACAUUGGAACUGAGACACGGUCCAAACUCCUACGGG
rnacentral:rRNA from 1 species